GCGUGAGUGAUGAAGGCCUUAGGGUUGUAAAACUCUUUUGUCCGGGAAGAUAAUGACUGUACCGGAAGAAUAAGCCCCGGCUAACUUCGUGCCAGCAGCCGCGGUAAUACGAAGGGGGCUAGCGUUGUUCGGAAUCACUGGGCGUAAAGCGCACGUAGGCGGAUUGUUAAGUCGGAGGUGAAAUCCCAGGGCUCAACCUUGGAACUGCCUUCGAUACUGGCAAUCUCGAGUCUGGAAGAGGUUAGUGGAACUCCGAGUGUAGAGGUGAAAUUCGU
rnacentral:rRNA from 1 species